CCUACGGGCGGCUGCAGCGCUAACGCCAAACUUCUCUUCGAUAGCCUUUACCAGUUCUGACAGCUCCAGCACUGUCAUUUUCUCUAUCGCACUGACAAUCUCCUCUAUAGACAUACUGUUUUCCUCCUUCAACUAUUCCAUUCUUGGCAUAAACUUGCUCAAAUCGUAGUUUCCCAAACCAGUGUGCUACGCACCAGCCUCUUCCUUCAAACGCCGCACAGCGUCAACUGCAUAGACCAAGUUGCGCAAAUUGCCUUGAAGGACAUUGACAAGCCCAUAAAGGGGGCCCUGUACUGCCCUGAGGACCAUGGCGAGCAGUUGCUCUUUGCCAGGAAGAUCGGCCAACGCCCCUACUGCUGCCCCCCGUAGG
rnacentral:rRNA from 1 species